rnacentral:tRNA from 3 species
GCCCUCGUAGCUCAGGGGAUAGAGCAUCGGCUUCCGGAGCCGUGAGCGCGCGUUCGAAUCGCGCCGAGGGCACCA